rnacentral:rRNA from 1 species
UACGUAGGGGGCUAGCGUUAUCCGGAAUUACUGGGCGUAAAGGGUGCGUAGGUGGUUUCUUAAGUCAGAGGUGAAAGGCUACGGCUCACCCGUAGUAAGCCUUUGAAACUGGGGAACUUGAGUGCAGGAGAGGAGAGUGGAAUUCCUAGUGUAGCGGUGAAAUGCGUAGAUAUUAGGAGGAACACCAGUUGCGAAGGCGGCUCUCUGGACUGUAACUGACACUGAGGCACGAAAGCGUGGGGAGCAAACAGG